rnacentral:rRNA from 1 species
UACGGAGGGGGCAAGCGUUGUUCGGAAUUACUGGGCGUAAAGGGUGCGUAGGCGGCUUGGUAAGUCGGGUGUGAAAUCUCGGAGCUUAACUCCGAAACUGCAUUCGAUACUGCCGUGCUUGAGGACUGGAGAGGAGACUGGAAUUUACGGUGUAGCGGUGAAAUGCGUAGAUAUCGUAAGGAAGACCAGUGGCGAAGGCGGGUCUCUGGACAGUUCCUGACGCUGAGGCACGAAGGUCAGGGGAGCAAACGGG